GUCUUCUUGUUAUAUUUAGGAAGUCUGGCCUGCCCAGUGAAAUUAAUUUAACGGCCGCGGUAUAUUGACCGUGCAAAGGUAGCAUAAUCAUUAGUCUUUUAAUAGAGGGCUGGUAUGAAGGGUUUAACGAGGUGUUGACUGUCUCAUUUAAUUUGAAUAUUAGAAUUUAAUUUUUUAGUUAAAAAGCUAAAAUAUUAUUGGAAGACGAGAAGACCCUAUAGAGCUUUAUAUUUUUAUUAUUAAUUUAUCAUAGAUUAUUAUUAUUUAUUAUUAAUAAAAAGUAUUUUGUUGGGGUGACAAAAAUAUAUGAAUAACUUUUUUAUUUAAUUUACAUUGAUAUAUGAAUAUUAGAUCCAAUCUUAUUGAUUGUUAGAUUAAGUUACCUUAGGGAUAACAGCGUAAUCCUCCUCCAGAGUUCAUAUUUACAGGGGGGCUUGCGACCUCGAUGUUGGAUUAAGAUAAUAAUUAGGUGCAGCCACUUAAUUAAUAGGUCUGUUCGACCUUUAAAUUCUU
rnacentral:rRNA from 1 species